rnacentral:rRNA from 1 species
UACGGGGGGGGUAAGCGUUGUUCGGAAUUACUGGGCGUAAAGGGCUCGUAGGCGGCCAACUAAGUCCGACGUGAAAUCCCCAAGCUUAACUUGGGAACUGCGUCGGAUACUGGAUGGCUUGAAUUCGGGAGAGGGAUGCAGAAUUCCAGGUGUAGCGGUGAAAUGCGUAGAUAUCUGGAGGAAUACCGGUGGCGAAGGCGGCAUCCUGGACCGACAUUGACGCUGAUGAGCGAAAGCUAGGGGAGCAAACGGG